GACAGAGGUGCCGAGCGUUAGGCGGAAUCACUGGGCUUAAAGCGUGUGUAGGCGGGCGGGCAAGUACCUUGUGAAAUCCCACGGCUCAACCGUGGAACGGCUGGGUAUACUGCCCGUCUUGAGCCAACUAGGGGCGAGCGGAACAGACGGUGGAGCGGUGAAAUGCGUAGAUAUCGUCUGGAACGCCGAAGGUGAAAACAGCUCGCUGGGGUUGUGCUGACGCUGAGACACGAAAGCCAGGGGAGCGAACGGG
rnacentral:rRNA from 1 species